AGCCUCAUUCUAGAUGAAAAUGGGCACUGUUUUUGUACAUGUGUCCAGAAAUUGUUAAUGUGGCUACAUUGAGACACAGGUUUUGCUUCCAUCACAGUAACUUUUUAAAAGAGAUUUUGGCUUUUUAUUGUA